UGCAGUUCGAGCGCCCCGCAAGGGGAAGCGGCAGACGGGUGAGUAACGCGUGGGAACACCUUUUGCUACGGAAUAACUCAGGGAAACUUGUGCUAAUACCGUAUGUGCCCUUCGGGGGAAAGAUUUAUCGGCAAAGGAUCGGCCCGCGUUGGAUUAGCUAGUUGGUGAGGUAAAGGCUCACCAAGGCGACGAUCCAUAGCUGGUCUGAGAGGAUGAUCAGCCACACUGGGACUGAGACACGGCCCAGACUCCUACGGGAGGCAGCAGUGGGGAAUAUUGGACAAUGGGCGCAAGCCUGAUCCAGCCAUGCCGCGUGAGUGAUGAAGGCCCUAGGGUUGUAAAGCUCUUUCACCGGUGAAGAUAAUGACGGUAACCGGAGAAGAAGCCCCGGCUAACUUCGUGCCAGCAGCCGCGGUAAUACGAAGGGGGCUAGCGUUGUUCGGAUUUACUGGGCGUAAAGCGCACGUAGGCGGACUUUUAAGUCAGGGGUGAAAUCCCGGGGCUCAACCCCGGAACUGCCUUUGAUACUGGAAGUCUUGAGUAUGGUAGAGGUGAGUG
rnacentral:rRNA from 1 species